rnacentral:rRNA from 1 species
GCCAGCCACCUGCCUGUAAAAAAAAGAGGGGUUGGUCGCUCCUUCUCCUUCUCCUUCGCCUAGCUCAGCCGCUCUCGCUCCCGCUCCUGCUACCGCCGCGAGGCCGAUCGCCACUCCUCUAAAACGCUGGCACGCGAGCCCUCUAGUCGCCCGUAAAUGCUCGAGUUCCGACGGUUCCUUAAGGGGCUGUAACUAGGACCCGUAGAGUUCCGACGGUCCUUUAAGGGGUUUGAAGCACAGUUCCUACAACUACGAUGCCGAGACUUACAGAAGUUCUAAGAGUCCCUCUCAGGUCAGCUACCAGUAUUUCUACAUUGGGAAGCACUUCACGCGUACUGUGAGUUCUGGAACCGACUCUAAGUCCUUCUUCUUACUUCUACGCGAUGAUCCUUCGUUAUAGCAGAGAACGAGAUUAUACUUGAUCGAAACGUCAUAACAUCAUAAACUUAGAAAGGAUACAACAGCGAGACACAGAACUAGAAGUUUUGACGACCUGCCUACACUACAAAACGAUAAAAGAACGAAGCGUUCCAACUUAGUAGGAAACUAGAACUGUACGGGUGGUCUAAGCUCACAUUCGAAAGCCCGAUCGCUAUUCCCGCCGUACAUGAACCAUAAGCAUUCUAAACGACCUACGAACAUGAGUCAAAGGAAUUUAAUAUUUUAUGAUAUACCAUUACCUUACCUAGUAAACCUUUCUUUCUUCUAAAC